rnacentral:rRNA from 1 species
AUUGAACGCUGGCGGCAUGCCUAACACAUGCAAGUCUAACGGCGGCAUGCUCUGUAGCAAUACAGAGUGAUGGCGAGUGGCGGACGGGUGAGUAAUACGUAGGGAUCUGCCUUGAAGAGGGGGGACAACCCGGGGAAACUCGGGCUAAUACCGCAUGAUACUCUAAGGAGGAAAGGGUUGGCGCAAGCCAGUCGCUUUAAGAGGAACCGACGUCCGAUUAGCUAGUUGGUAAGGUAAAGGCUUACCAAGGCAGAGAUCGGUAGCUGGUCUGAGAGGAUGACCAGCCACACUGGGACUGAGACACGGCCCAGACUCCUACGGGAGGCAGCAGUGGGGAAUAUUGGACAAUGGGGGCAACCCUGAUCCAGCGAUGCCGCGUGUGUGAAGAAGGCCUUCGGGUUGUAAAGCACUUUAGUUGGGGAAGAAGGCUUGCGGUUGAAUAGGCCGCAAGAUUGACGGUACCCAAAGAAUAAGCACCGGCUAACUCUGUGCCAGCCGCCGCCGUAA